CACCUGGGAUGAGAUGUAGAGUUUAAUUAGUAGAAACAUGGAGGAGCUGAUUAUCCUAUGAAGAGCAGCAGGAUGGUAUGCUCAGGGAGGGAGAAACAACUGAGGGAAGGGAUGGCAGGAGAAGACAGCUGGAAAUGAACAGCAGCCACAGAGGUCAUAUAGUCUCUUCCUUGCUGAAGAAUGGACUGCACACGGAACAUGGGACCUGAAAAUGGAAGACAACUUUGCCGCUGCUGUUAUUGAUAAACAACUUCUCACAGAUCAACCCAUGGGUGACGCAACUGGGCAUCAGAAAACAGUGAAACUGAAGCUAUACCAAGUGUCAGAUUUUCAGCUGGCCAAAUUCAACGAAGCUCCAUUGAAGCAAGUUGGUGCAGCAGCAACAGCUGAGAAUCUCAGGAUAUUGUCAAAUGUACAAAGUAAAUAAAAUGAAGAAAAAAUCA